rnacentral:rRNA from 1 species
UACGGGAGGCAGCAGUGGGGAAUAUUGCACAAUGGGCGAAAGCCUGAUGCAGCUAUGCCGCGUGUAUGAAGAAGGCCUUAGGGUUGUAAAGUACUUUCAUCGGGGAGGAAAAAACAAAACUAAUAAUUUUAUUUCUUGACGUUACCCGAAAAAGAAGCACCGGCUAACUCCGUGCCAGCAGCCGCGGUAAUACGGAGGGUGCUAGCGUUAAUCAGAAUUACUGGGCGUAAAGAGCACGUAGGUGGUUUUUUUAAGUCAGAUGUGAAAUCCCUGGGCUUAACCUGGAACUGCAUUUUGAAACUGAAAUACUAGAGUAUCGUAGAGGGAGGUAGAAUUCUAGGUGUAGCGGUGAAAUGCGUAGAUAUCUGGAGGAAUACCUGUGGCGAAAGCGGCCUCCUAAACGAAUACUGACACUGAGGUGCGAAAGCGUGGGGAGCGAAACAGGGAUUAGAUACC